rnacentral:rRNA from 1 species
AAAUUGAAGAGUUUGAUCAUGGCUCAGAUUGAACGCUGGCGGCAGGCCUAACACAUGCAAGUCGAACGGUAACAGGAAGAAGCUUGCUUCUUUGCUGACGAGUGGCGGACGGGUGAGUAAUGUCUGGGAAACUGCCUGAUGGAGGGGGAUAACUACUGGAAACGGUAGCUAAUACCGCAUAACGUCGCAAGACCAAAGAGGGGGACCUUCGGGCCUCUUGCCAUCGGAUGUGCCCAGAUGGGAUUAGCUAGUAGGUGGGGUAACGGCUCACCUAGGCGACGAUCCCUAGCUGGUCUGAGAGGAUGACCAGCCACACUGGAACUGAGACACGGUCCAGACUCCUACGGGAGGCAGCAGUGGGGAAUAUUGCACAAUGGGCGCAAGCCUGAUGCAGCCAUGCCGCGUGUAUGAAGAAGGCCUUCGGGUUGUAAAGUACUUUCAGCGGGGAGGAAGGGAGUAAAGUUAAUACCUUUGCUCAUUGACGUUACCCGCAGAAGAAGCACCGGCUAACUCCGUGCCAGCAGCCGCGGUAAUACGGAGGGUGCAAGCGUUAAUCGGAAUUACU